GACGAACGCUGGCGGCGUGCUUAACACAUGCAAGUCGAACGGAAAGGCACUGCUAUUGUGCGCUGCUCGAGUGGCAAACGGGUGCGUAACACGAGAAUAACCUGCCCUUCACUUUCGGGUAACUUCAGGAAACUAGGGCUACUACCGGAUAGGAUCCCCUGCUCCAUGGUGGGGGUGGGAACUUCUCGGCGUGUGCGGAUGGAUUCGCGGCUUAAGAGCUUGUUAGUUGGGUAGUUGCUGACCAAGGAAUUGACGGGUCGGCGGCCCGUGAGGGUGGCCGGGGACAUGAGGACUGAGAGACGGCGCAGACUGCUACGGGAGGCAGCAGGCGGGAGUAUUGCACAGUGGGCCGGAGCCUGAGGCAGCGGCGCCGCGGGCGUGAUGACGGCUUGCGGGUUGUGAACCGCUUUCGCCUGUGACGAAGCGUGAGUGACGGUAAUGGAUAAAGAAGCACCGGCUAACUACGUG
rnacentral:rRNA from 1 species